rnacentral:rRNA from 1 species
AUUGAACGCUAACGGCGUGCUUAACGCAUGCAAGUCGAGCGGCAGCACAGUAGUAGCAAUACUAUGGGUGGCGAGCGGCGGACGGGUGAGUAAUGCAUAGGAAUCUGCCUUGUAGUGGGGGAUAACCCGGGGAAACUCGGGCUAAUACCGCAUAAUCUCUACGGAGCAAAGUGGUGGACCGUAAGGCCUCACGCUAAAAGAUGAGCCUAUGUUGGAUUAGCUAGUUGGUAGGGUAAAGGCCUACCAAGGCAACGAUCCAUAGCUGGUCUGAGAGGAUGAUCAGCCACACUGGGACUGAGACACGGUCCAGACUCCUACGGGAGGCAGCAGUGGGGAAUAUUGGACAAUGGGCGAAAGCCUGAUCCAGCAACGCCGUGUGUGUGAAGAAGGCCUUCGGGUUGUAAAGCACUUUUAGUUGGGAAGAAAAGCUCAAGACUAAUACCCUUGAGUGAUGACGUUACCAACAGAAAAAGCACUGGCUAACUCUGUGCCAGCAGCCGCGGUAA